UACGUAGGGUGCGAGCGUUAAUCGGAAUUACUGGGCGUAAAGCGUGCGCAGGCGGUUUUGUAAGCCAGAUGUGAAAGCCCCGGGCUUAACCUGGGAAUGGCAUUUGGAACUGCAAGGCUUGAGUGCGGCAGAGGAGACUGGAAUUCCUGGUGUAGCAGUGAAAUGCGUAGAUAUCAGGAGGAAUACCGAUGGCGAAGGCAGGUCUCUGGGCUGACACUGACGCUCAUGCACGAAAGCGUGGGGAGCAAACAGG
rnacentral:rRNA from 1 species